rnacentral:rRNA from 1 species
UACGUAGGGUGCAAGCGUUGUCCGGAAUUAUUGGGCGUAAAGAGCUCGUAGGCGGUCUGUCGCGUCGGCUGUGAAAUCCCGAGGCUCAACCUCGGGUCUGCAGUCGAUACGGGCAAACUAGAGUAUUGCAGGGGAGACUGGAAUUCCUGGUGUAGCGGUGAAAUGCGCAGAUAUCAGGAGGAACACCGGUGGCGAAGGCGGGUCUCUGGGCAAUAACGGACGCUGAGGAGCGAAAGCAUGGGGAGCGAACAGG